UGGGGAAUUUUUGUCCAAUGGGGGAAACCCUGAGACAGCAACGCCGCGUGAGGGAUGAAGGCCCUCGGGUCGUAAACCUCUGUCAGGAGGGAAGAAAGCUUCGUUGCGAAUAGUUUCGAAGUCUGACGGUACCUCCAAAGGAAGGACCGGCUAACUCCGUGCCAGCAGCCGCGGUAAUACGGAGGGUCCUAGCGUUGUUCGGAAUCAUUGGGCGUAAAGCGGGUGCAGGCGGUGGAGCAAGUCGGAUGUGAAAUCCCGGGGCCCAACCCCGGAACUGCAUUCGAAACUGCUUCACUAGAGUCCCGGAGAGGAAGGCGGAAUUCCCGGUGUAGAGGUGAAAUUCGUAGAUAUCGGGAGGAACACCAGUGGCGAAGGCGGCCUUCUGGACGGUGACUGACGCUCAGACCCGAAAGCGUGGGGAGCAAACAGGAUUAGAUACCCCCGUAGUCC
rnacentral:rRNA from 1 species